GAUGGAUCCGCGCUGCAUUAGCUAGUUGGUAAGGUAACGGCUUACCAAGGCAACGAUGCAUAGCCGACCUGAGAGGGUGAUCGGCCACACUGGAACUGAGACACGGUCCAGACUCCUACGGGAGGCAGCAGUAGGGAAUCUUCCGCAAUGGGCGAAAGCCUGACGGAGCAACGCCGCGUGAGUGAUGAAGGUCUUCGGAUCGUAAAACUCUGUUAUUAGGGAAGAACAUAUGUGUAAGUAACUGUGCACAUCUUGACGGUACCUAAUCAGAAAGCCACGGCUAACUACGUGCCAGCAGCCGCGGUAAUACGUAGGUGGCAAGCGUUAUCCGGAAUUAUUGGGCGUAAAGCGCGCGUAGGCGGUUUUUUAAGUCUGAUGUGAAAGCCCACGGCUCAACCGUGGAGGGUCAUUGGAAACUGGAAAACUUGAGUGCAGAAGAGGAAAGUGGAAUUCCAUGUGUAGCGGUGAAAUGCGCAGAGAUAUGGAGGAACACCAGUGGCGAAGGCGACUUUCUGGUCUGUAACUGACGCUGAUGUGCGAAAGCGUGGGGAUCAAACAGGAUUAGAUACCCUGGUAGUCCACGCCGUAAACGAUGAGUGCUAAGUGUUAGGGGGUUUCCGCCCCUUAGUGCUGCAGCUAACGCAUUAAGCACUCCGCCUGGGGAGUACGACCGCAAGGUUGAAACUCAAAGGAAUUGACGGGGACCCGCACAAGCGGUGGAGCAUGUGGUUUAAUUCGAAGCAACGCGAAGAACCUUACCAAAUCUUGACAUCCUUUGACAACUCUAGAGAUAGAGCCUUCCCCUUCGGGGGACAAAGUGACAGGUGGUGCAUGGUUGUCGUCAGCUCGUGUCGUGAGAUGUUGGGUUAAGUCCCGCAACGAGCGCAACCCUUAAGCUUAGUUGCCAUCAUUAAGUUGGGCACUCUAAGUUGACUGCCGGUGACAAACCGGAGGAAGGUGGGGAUGACGUCAAAUCAUCAUGCCCCUUAUGAUUUGGGCUACACACGUGCUACAAUGGACAAUACAAAGGGCAGCGAAACCGCGAGGUCAAGCAAAUCCCAUAAAGUUGUUCUCAGUUCGGAUUGUAGUCUGCAACUCGACUACAUGAAGCUGGAAUCGCUAGUAAUCGUAGAUCAGCAUGCUACGGUGAAUACGUUCCCGGGUCUUGUACACACCGCCCGUCACACCACGAGAGUUUGUAACACCCGAAGCCGGUGGAGUAACCUUUUAGGAGCUAGCCGUCGAAGGUGGGACAAAUGAUUGGGGUGAAGUCGUAACAAGGUAGCCGUAUCGGAAGGUGCGGCUGGAUCACCUCCUUUCUAAGGA
rnacentral:rRNA from 1 species